rnacentral:rRNA from 1 species
ACAGAGACCUCAAGCGUUAUCCGGAAUCAUUGGGCGUAAAGCGUGCCGAUAGGUGGUUUAUUUAGUCUUGGGUGAAAGCCCGAAGCUUAACUUCGGAGUUUGCUUAAGAUACUAAUAGACUAGAGGGGCAAAGAGGUGCUUGGAACGAACGGUGUAGUAGUGAAAUGCGUUGAUAUCGUUCGGAACACCGAAAGCGAAGGCAGAGCACUGGGUGCCACCUGACACUGCUAGGACGAAAGCGUGGGGAGCGAAUGGGA